rnacentral:rRNA from 1 species
AUGGCUCCUCGGAAACUUUGUGCUAAGCAUCACAUCAUCUGGCCAGCUCCUGGUAAAUGCCCUUACAUCAAGGUUUACUAUGAUUGGUCGUUCGAGGAAGAGAUCACUACCAACCUAAAGGAGCCUACAAAAGAAGUUUGUAGCAAAGAUGAAGAAGAUGAAGGAGAUGAAGAAGAUACCCCCUACCUCUUCUGGAGGACAUGGAGGAUAUUGAGUUUAAGAAGUCAAACCUACCUGCCUUUGUGGGAGUUAUUAAUGUUCAGAAUAACUCUUAUGCCUUUGUGGGAAUUAUUAAUGUUCAGAAUAACUCUUAUGAUCGUGUGCAAGAAAACAAGUCUGCAGUUUCGCACGAGAAUCUCCCACCUUUGGCUAUGGGGCCCUAAAGGUCAUCGUCGGUGCUAA